CCCGCUCAGAAACUCAAAGGAAUUGACGGGGCCCGCACAAGCGGUGGAGCAUGUGGUUUAAUUCGAUGAUACGCGAGGAACCUUACCUGGGCUCAAAUGUAUGUUGACGUAUUCUGAAAGGGAUACUUCUUCGGACAAUAUACAAGGUGCUGCAUGGUUGUCGUCAGCUCGUGCCGUGAGGUGUCGGGUUAAGUCCCAUAACGAGCGCAACCCUAUCAUUAGUUGCCAUCAGGUCAAGCUGGGGACUCUAAUGAAACUGCCUACGCAAGUAGUGAGGAAGGUGGGGAUGACGUCAAAUCAGCACGGCCCUUACGUCCAGGGCUACACACGUGCUACAAUGGCCGGUACAAAGGGCAGCUACCUGGUGACAGGAUGCUAAUCUCAAAAGCCGGUCUCAGUUCGGAUCGGAGUCUGCAACCCGACCCCGUGAAGCUGGAAUCGCUAGUAAUCGCGCAUCAGCCAUGGCGCGGUGAAUACGUUCCCGGGCCUU
rnacentral:rRNA from 1 species